rnacentral:rRNA from 1 species
AUUGAACGCUGGCGGCAGGCCUAACACAUGCAAGUCGAACGAGUGGCGGACGGGUGAGUAAUGCUUGGGAAACUGCCUGAUGGAGGGGGAUAACUACUGGAAACGGUAGCUAAUACCGCAUACCAUCAGAUGUGCCCAGCUGGGAUUAGCUAGUUGGUGGGGUAAAGGCUCACCAAGGCGACGAUCCCUAGCUGGUCUGAGAGGAUGACCAGCCACACUGGGACUGAGAAACGGCCCAGACUCCUACGGGAGGCAGCAGUGGGGAAUAUUGCGCAAUGGGGGCAAGCCUGACGCAGCCAUGCCGCGUGAAUGAAGAAGGCCUUCGGGUUGUAAAGUUCUUUCGGCAGGGAGGCGUUAACCACAGAAGAAGCACCGGCUAACUCCGUGCCAGCCGCCGCGGUAAUAC